GCCAUCAUAGUGUAGUGGUUUGAGCAUUGGACUAUGACUCUGGAGAUCAGGGCUCAAUUCCUUGAUGGGU